rnacentral:rRNA from 1 species
AGCAGCCGCGGUAAUUCCAGCUCCAAUAGCGUAUAUUAAAGUUGUUGCAGUUAAAAAGCUCGUAGUUGAAUUUCGGGGUUAGUAGUUUGGUCGUGCUAAUGGUAUGUACUGGGCUCACUGAUUCCUCCUUCCUGAUGAACUGUAAUGCCAUUAAUUUGGUGUUGCAGGGAAACAGGACUGUUACUUUGAAAAAUUAGAGUGUUUAAAGCAAGCUAACGCUUGAAUACAUUAGCAUGGAAUAAUGAAAUAGGACGUUCGAACCUAUUUUGUUGGUUUCUAGGAUUGACGUAAUGAUUAAUAGGGAUAGUUGGGGGCAUUAGUAUUCAAUUGUCAGAGGUGAAAUUCUUGGAUUUAUUGAAGACUAACUACUGCGAAAGCAUUUUGCCAAGGAUGUUUUCAUUAAUCAAGAGCGAAAGUUAGGGGAUCGAAGACGAUCAGAUACC